CCAGGGGCACCGUCGACGCCAGUGACGCCGACGACGCCGCUGUCGGCGCGUAAGGACAACGUGUGGAGGAGCGUGUUUCACCCCGGUAGCAACCUUGCUACUAGGGGUAUCGGUGCAGAGGUCUUUGACAAGCCCACACAUCCUAACUCUCCCACUGUUUAUGACUGGUAAGUACGUGCGUGUGUCCUCACUCACUCGCUCGCUCGCUCACUCGCUCUUCACUAGCAUAGAUGCUGCAUGCUUGUUCUAACUUAUUAUUCUUUCUUUAGACCCUUAUCAGUUGAACGCAAAGGCAACUUGUACUCUAUCUAUAUAUGUUUAAUCAUGUUCGGUUGCUGAUAAAUAUAUAUAUUUAUUUAUUAAUUUGUUCUCUUUUUCUCCCCCCCCCCCCCCUUUUUAACUGAAUUAAUUCCCCGAUCAGAAAAAAAACCGCAGCUUAUUAUAUUCAUGUGUGCGUGUGUGUGUGUUUUAAAAAGAAAAAUGAUGAAACCAAAUCGAUGGAGCAUCAACUCAAACAUCUCUGUUUUUGUUUUGUUUUUUUUGUCGUUCUUACUGGCUUCUCUCAGCAACCAAAUAAAGGCUAAGAGGAAGGAGGAAAACGUGGCACUCUGUCUCAUGGGCGCGUUGAAAUAGAUCUUUGUCUUAUUCAGUAAUGAUCACUCAAUUCACACUCUUUUGUGAAUCCCUGCCAGUUCUUCCUUAGUUAAAGCCAAAUGAUGUAAUAAAUAAUAUAUUUUGUAUUAUGUAGUGAUCAUGGAUAAGAUUAGAUCGUACUAUAGCUAGGGCUGUUGGAUCUGUUUAUUUUGCGGUGGAUGAUUAAAGUAGUAAUUUAACUAUAUUGAUUAUCCUUAAUUAUUAUUAUUAUUAUUAUUAUUAUUAUUAUUAUUAUUAUUAGAUGGAUCUGAUCCGUGAUCGGGGCGUCGUGUUUUUGGAUCGGGAGUUGAUGUUGCUCUGAAUUGGUUUUUGUGAUUUUGCAGGCUUUACAGUGGGGAGACUAGGAGCAAGCAUCAUCACUGAGUGGAUGAUACGCUCCAGCGAUGUAAAUGAAUGUGAUGGGUCACCAACUCACCGGAUGAGUUGCCUGUAGUCUGUAGAUAGUGUCGUUUCGUUUUGGAUUUCGCAACGUGUCCUUGUCGUUUUGUUAAUGCUAUUUGUAUUACGUGUCCUUCCUAUCUAAAGUUUGGUUUUAAAAUGCUGCUGACUAAAAGUAAACUAAAGACUGUGAUGUUUUUAUAUCAUAUAAUUUAAUAAUUGUAUGUGAUGUGAGGAUUGCUAAGCUGUGGGCGGAGAUGAAAGGUUGCUGGUUUUUGGGUUUAGGACAUGUUUUUGAUUGUCAUUUUGUAAGAGCCAAGAUCAUCCCUUCGUGGACGGUCGUGAUGAGCAUAUAUGUUUUAU
rnacentral:lncRNA from 1 species